rnacentral:rRNA from 1 species
GAUGAACGCUGGCGGCGUGCCUAAUACAUGCAAGUCGAGCGAACAGACGAGGAGCUUGCUCCCCUGACGUUAGCGGCGGACGGGUGAGUAACACGUGGAUAACCUACCUAUAAGACUGGGAUAACUUCGGGAAUCCGGAGCUAAUACCGGAUAAUAUAUUGAACCGCAUGGUUCAAUAGUGAAAGACGGUUUUGCUGUCACUUAUAGAUGGAUCCGCGCCGCAUUAGCUAGUUGGUAAAGUAACGGCUUACCAAGGCAACGAUGCGUAGCCGACCUGAGAGGGUGAUCGGCCACACUGGAACUGAGACACGGUCCAGACUCCUACGGGAGGCAGCAGUAGGGAAUCUUCCGCAAUGGGCGAAAGCCUGACGGAGCAACGCCGCGUGAGUGAUGAAGGUCUUCGGAUCGUAAAACUCUGUUAUUAGGGAAGAACAAAUGUGUAAGUAACUAUGCACGUCUUGACGGUACCUAAUCAGAAAGCCACGGCUAACUACGUG